AUAUGAAUUAAUGAAAAUUAAGAAAUUUAGUAGCAGGCUUUCUCUUUGAGAUAUUUCUUUUAGUGCAACUUCGAACUGUGUCUUCUAGGGGCUGCUGUGGGGAACACCUCGCCGUGACCCGUGUCUGAAGCAUACAUUGAAAAAACACCACCGAGUUGGCCGGCGACAGCCCCUGGCGUCACUACUUGCGCGACUACGGACAAAUAGGCGCCAGGAGAACACGUCUUCCUCUUCUUCGUCUCUAUUGACUGUUUUGUUUGAAGCGUGCAUCUGAACGACCACGAUUACAUAAUGGUAGACAAAUGGACAACAGAUGAUGUCUGCAAUUGGCUCCAAACCAUCAACCUGAUUGAUUCCAAAGAAGUCUUCAGAGAGCAAGAGAUUGAUGGAGAAACCCUGUUGGGCUUAACAGAAAGGAUGGUGCAGAAACUAUUCCCCACAAUGAAACAGCAAGUGAUCUUUUUAAAGGAACUUGAAAGACUGAAGAGAUCGUCUUCAAUGGAACAAGAAACUGGUGUGGAAACCUCUUCGGAGAUUCAAAUGCAUCACACUCAGCAAAAGUGCUGUGAGCCGUGGCCUGCAGUUUUUAGCCUCCCUGAUUUUCCACCAGAACUUAACGAAUCAUUACAGAGGAAGGAUCCAUCUUUCAAGAAAAAGGAAAAAUCACAUCUGCGAUCACUGCUAAUUCAAGUGUUGUUUGAUAGCAUCACAAAGUACACAUGGUAUCCAAGCCACAAGAUAUACACGGAUGUUCUUGGAAGUCUGAUCAAAAGAUUUCCUUUCCUGAAGGAUACUAGCCCCUCUGGUCAUGGACUGAUGAACACACUCGGCUCCUUAUCCAGUGGAGAGUAG
ensembl:lncRNA